rnacentral:rRNA from 2 species
AAGUUUUUCGGUGUAGGAUGAGACUAUAUAGUAUCAGCUAGUUGGUAAGGUAAUGGCUUACCAAGGCUAUGACGCUUAACUGGUCUGAGAGGAUGAUCAGUCACACUGGAACUGAGACACGGUCCAGACUCCUACGGGAGGCAGCAGUAGGGAAUAUUGCGCAAUGGGGGAAACCCUGACGCAGCAACGCCGCGUGGAGGAUGACACUUUUCGGAGCGUAAACUCCUUUUCUUAGGGAAGAAUUCUGACGGUACCUAAGGAAUAAGCACCGGCUAACUCCGUGCCAGCAGCCGCGGUAAUACGGAGGGUGCAAGCGUUACUCGGAAUCACUGGGCGUAAAGGGCGCGUAGGCGGAUUAUCAAGUCUCUUGUGAAAUCUAAUGGCUUAACCAUUAAACUGCUUGGGAAACUGAUAGUCUAGAGUGAGGGAGAGGCAGAUGGAAUUGGUGGUGUAGGGGUAAAAUCCGUAGAUAUCACCAAGAAUACCCAUUGCGAAGGCGAUCUGCUGGAACUCAACUGACGCUAAGGCGCGAAAGCGUGGGGAGCAAACAGGAUUAGAUACCCUGGUAGUCCACGCCCUAAACGAUGUACACUAGUUGUUGGGGUGCUAGUCAUCUCAGUAAUGCAGCUAACGCAUUAAGUGUACCGCCUGGGGAGUACGGUCGCAAGAUUAAAACUCAAAGGAAUAGACGGGGACCCGCACAAGCGGUGGAGCAUGUGGUUUAAUUCGAAGAUACGCGAAGAACCUUACCUGGGCUUGAUAUCCUAAGAACCUUUUAGAGAUAAGAGGGUGCUAGCUUGCUAGAACUUAGAGACAGGUGCUGCACGGCUGUCGUCAGCUCGUGUCGUGAGAUGUUGGGUUAAGUCCCGCAACGAGCGCAACCCACGUAUUUAGUUGCUAACGGUUCGGCCGAGCACUCUAAAUAGACUGCCUUCGUAAGGAGGAGGAAGGUGUGGACGACGUCAAGUCAUCAUGGCCCUUAUGCCCAGGGCGACACACGUGCUACAAUGGCAUAUACAAUGAGACGCAAUACCGCGAGGUGGAGCAAAUCUAUAAAAUAUGUCCCAGUUCGGAUUGUUCUCUGCAACUCGAGAGCAUGAAGCCGGAAUCGCUAGUAAUCGUAGAUCAGCCAUGCUACGGUGAAUACGUUCCCGGGUCUUGUACUCACCGCCCGUCACACCAUGGGAGUUGAUUUCACUCGAAGCCGGAAUACUAAACUAGUUACCGUCCACAGUGGAAUCAGCGACUGGGGUGAAGUCGUAACAAGGUAACCGUAGGAGAACCUGCGGUUGGAUCACCUCCUUUCUA